rnacentral:rRNA from 1 species
GAUGAACGCUAGCGGCAGGCCUAACACAUGCAAGUCGAGGGGCAGCACAGAAACAGCAAUGUUUUGGUGGCGACCGGCGGACGGGUGCGUAACGCGUAUGCAACCUACCUUUAACAGGGGGAUAACGGAGAGAAAUUUCCACUAAUACCCCAUAACAUCGCUCAAGGCAUCUUGAUUGGUUGAAAACUCCGGUGGUUAAAGAUGGGCAUGCGUUGUAUUAGGUAGUUGGUGAGGUAAUGGCUCACCAAGCCUACGAUACAUAGGGGGACUGAGAGGUUAGCCCCCCACACUGGUACUGAGACACGGACCGGACUCCUACGGGAGGCAGCAGUGAGGAAUAUUGGUCAAUGGGGGCAACCCUGAACCAGCCAUGCCGCGUGCAGGAAGACGGCUCUAUGAGUUGUAAACUGCUUUUAAACAGGGAUAAAGCACAGUAUGUAUACUGUGUUGAAGGUACUGUAAGAAUAAGGAUCGGCUAACUCCGUGCCAGCCGCCGCGGUAA